UACGGGGGGGGCAAGCGUUGCUCGGAAUUACUGGGCGUAAAGGGCUCGUAGGUGGCCAACUAAGUCAGACGUGAAAUCCCUCGGCUUAACCGGGGAACUGCGUCUGAUACUGGUUGGCUUGAAUCCGGGAGAGGGAUGUGGAAUUCCAGGUGUAGCGGUGAAAUGCGUAGAUAUCUGGAGGAACACCGGUGGCGAAGGCGACAUCCUGGACCGGUAUUGACGCUGAGGCGCGAAAGCCAGGGAGCAAACGGG
rnacentral:rRNA from 1 species